AGCGAACGCUGGCGGCAUGCCUUACACAUGCAAGUCGAACGGUAACAGGUCUUCGGAUGCUGACGAGUGGCGAACGGGUGAGUAAUACAUCGGAACGUGCCCGAGAGUGGGGGAUAACGAGGCGAAAGCUUUGCUAAUACCGCAUACGAUCUCAGGAUGAAAGCAGGGGACCGCAAGGCCUUGCGCUCACGGAGCGGCCGAGGGCAGAUUAGGUAGUUGGUGGGAUAAAAGCUUACCAAGCCGACGAACUGUAGCUGGUCUGAAAGGACGACCAGCCACACUGGGACUGAGACACGGCCCAGACGCCUACGGGAGGCAGCGAUGGGGAAUUUUGGACAAUGGGCGCAAGCCUGAUCCAGCCAUGCCGCGUGCAGGAUGAAGGCCUUCGGGUUGUAAACUGCUUUUGUACGGAACGAAAAGACUCUGGUUAAUACCUGGGGUCCAUGACGGUACCGUAAGAAUAAGCACCGGCUAACUACGUGCCAGCCGCCGCGGUAACAC
rnacentral:rRNA from 1 species